GGGGCUAACUUCCUGGGGAAGCGCCUGCUUCUAACGCAGGCGUGUUGCGGUUCGAUUCCGCAUAGCUCCACCA
rnacentral:tRNA from 1 species